UCGAGUUAGGGUCUUCUAGGCCCGACCUCCCAACCCUUUGUUUACUGAACCUCUGUUGCUUCGGCGGAUCCGUCUCACGACCGCCGGAGGAUUGCCGCGAGGCGUCCUCUGGCCAGUGUCCGCCGACAGCCAACCAUUUAAAACUCUGAAUAAAUCGUGUAUUUAUGUCUAAGUCUAUGAUUAAAUCAAAAGCA
rnacentral:misc_RNA from 1 species